UCCAACCGUCAAACAUGUUUGUAUAUACUUCGAGAUCGCAUACGCCAAAAAUUGCAAAAAACAAACAUUCAGAGAUCAAGUAACGGGACAAAACUUUUCGACGGUUAUAAAAAGAAAAAUCACGAUUUAACGGUCAUUUUAACUCCGAUUUUGAUGAUUUUUUACAACUACACUCCUUGACCCUAUAUGAAUACAAUGAUUGAAUUCGAUCUUCAAUUUAAAAUAUUUACACU
rnacentral:lncRNA from 1 species